GAUGAAGAACGCAGCGAAAUGCGAUAAGUAAUGCGAAUUGCAGAAUUUCCGUGAGUCAUCGAAUCUUUGAACGCACAUUGCGCCCAUUGGUAUUCCGAUGGGCAUGCCUGUUCGAGCGUCAUUUCACCACUCAAGCCUGGCUUGGUGUUGGGCGACGUCCUCUUUGGGGACGCGCCUCGAAACGCUCGGCGGCGUGGCACCGGCUUUAAGCGUAGCAGAAUCUUUCGCUUUGGAAGUCGGGGCCCCGUCUGCCGGAAGACCUGCUCGCAAGGUUGACCUCGGAUCAGGCAGGGAUACCCGCUGAACUUAAGCAUAUCAAUAAGCGGAGGA
rnacentral:misc_RNA from 1 species